rnacentral:rRNA from 1 species
AUACGGAGGGUGCAAGCGUUAUCCGGAUUUAUUGGGUUUAAAGGGUGCGCAGGCGGACCUGUCAGUCAGUGGUGAAAUCCCGGGGCUCAACCCCGGAACUGCCAUUGAUACUACAGGUCUUGAAUACGGUUGAAGUAGGCGGAAUGUAGCAUGUAGCGGUGAAAUGCAUAGAUAUGCUACAGAACACCGAUCGCGAAGGCAGCUUACUAAGCCGAUAUUGACGCUCAGGCACGAAAGCGUGGGGAGCGAACAGGAUUAGAUACCCUAGUAGUCC